rnacentral:rRNA from 1 species
UACGGGGGGGGCAAGCGUUGUUCGGAAUUACUGGGCGUAAAGGGCGCGUAGGCGGCCAUCUAAGUCAGACGUGAAAUCCCUCGGCUCAACCGAGGAACUGCGUCUGAUACUGGAAGGCUUGAAUCCGGGAGAGGGAUGUGGAAUUCCAGGUGUAGCGGUGAAAUGCGUAGAUAUCUGGAGGAACACCGGUGGCGAAGGCGGCAUCCUGGACCGGUAUUGACGCUGAGGCGCGAAAAGCUAGGGGGAGCAAACGGGG